CUCAUUAUUAUAUAGUGUCAUCGCUCAGCUCCUCCUUGCCCUUCGGGGUCUCGGUCCGCAGCUUUGCUCCGUGUCGUUUGUAAUGGUGUGGUCCUGAGCUGCAGGCCUUUUUUCUUUUUUUUCUCUUUUUCUUUUUUCCCGCCCCGCUCCACAAACUAUUGGUCUCUCUGGAGCUUUUAGUUUUUCUCCCCGCCGCUCUCACCCCUCUGCCUUAUCAAUGGGGCACAGCCGAAGUAAACACUGCGUCUUGCAUAUAAUUCUAUGGCAAUCCCUACCAGCGGUGAUAAGCUUAUGGAGCAGAUGUAACUCAUGAGCUAACUUUCUGAUUCACCUCACUGGAGGCUGCCUAACAGGAUCUGUCUUUGCCGAGCUUAUGUCCAGUCAUUUCAGCAGCAUUUAAAAUUCAUGAAGUAAACACUCUUUUUUUUUUUUUCCUACGCGCACUUACGCUCCAUCACAUGUGAAUGAGCUGAAGCCGAGCUCCCCCGUUGGCAUUGAAAAUAAUCCGAGGUUUAACUGUGGUAGUGACACAUUUUUGAACAGGUGGGACCUGAAGAGGUUCAUGUUGUUGGCUACUACAGUUUAAUAGCAACGUGCCAUGAAAACAGCGGGCUAAGAGAGCGAUUAAAGCUAAAAAGAAGAUUUUCAUCAUGAUGUAAUGGCUCUGUUCGCUGCAGAUGUGAUGAGGUGAUGGGGCUUUUCUAUAUACAUAGCUCUUCCCUGAUUUUGUUUGGGUUAAAGUGAUAUGUGAAACCAGAAAAUAAGCUAUCGGGCUUUUACUCGAUGCACACUCGAUAGAACAUGCUGUUAGAAAGCACUCACACCAGGGCGCGUGACCAUAAUGGAACACAAGGAGCGUUUGUGUCUCAUUGAUACAUUGAUUUGGCCACUGGAAAGUUAUUUAUUUUUGUUUUUGUUUUUUUAUUUAGUUAUUACUCCAUGCUGAGACCAUUUGGAGUCCAUUUUCUGCAGUCUCAUGUAACCACGUUAAGACGCGCCUUGGCAAUAAAGCCGACAAAAAUGACCCAAAAGUAUGAUCUUAUUACGGCCGCCACAGAGCUCUACCUUUCAAAGUAAAUAACACUAAUAAGAAGCUGCUGCACUGCCUGCAGAUACCCUUCCUCUGGCUGUUCUCUGUGGCAGGAGAUCAGAAUGAGAGAUCUAUGAUCAACGCUGUACAUUGCCAGCAACAGGAGCAGGAUAUGAGCCGUAAACCUGAUUAUUCUCUCUAUAAGGUCAUCCUGAAGCUCAUGAGCGGACUGUUUGGCAGGCAAGAUUACUGAUGAAAGGGCAUUAUAUUGAGCAGCAGGAGUGGCAGUGAGCACGUAGCCAGCCGCAGCAGUGCAGCCGGCGUUGAGUCCACCUCCACUUCCAUCUCCUGGCAAACCCUGCAUCAUAAAUCAGGCGUUUAAAAAAAAUGAAUCUUCUUGUAUUUAAUAAGCUCAGUCUCCCCAGAGUUGUGGUGUUAUUAUUGGAACUCCUUCAUUUAGAGAUGUUUUUUCCUCUUGAGACGCCGUAUUGAUUUCAGGACUCAGGUAUCCUUCAAAAACGCUGUCUGAAUGCUGAUGUCCUCAGCAGUCAGCUGAUACGGGAUAAUUAAGUCUACGGGAAGAUUUUGUGAUCGAAGGGUCGUCUGCCCUGAGCAGCACGGAGAAAAAUCCCCCCCAUGGAGUCGAUUUGAGUGAUGGUGGUGGCUGACGACUCUGCUGAGACCAGUGAAUCAGCGAAGGUUGGGCAGUGAUGGGGACAUGGAGGAGGGGUGUGCAGCUAGAUGAUAGGCUAACAAGGUGUGUCGCUGUGCUGUUGGAUAGAUGUGAGCAGCAGAUGUGAUCAGCUGGUAUCAAGUGACUGGCCAAGAAGAAGAGGAAGAAGAAAGCAUUGUUCUCAUGGACCGGUGCUCCUGGUGUGCCCUUCUCUCCUGCACCGUGCCUCCUUUUUGUUUUUGAGGUUUUCAAAAAGUUGAAAGUUUUGUUGUUUGUUUUUUUUUUUAUUUAAUUAACUUUUUAAUUUCAACUUCUGGUUGUAUUUGAAUUCAUUUCUAGUAAACAACCAUUCAAAUGUUACUAUAUAAAACGUGUCUACACAAAAAAAAAAAAAGUACACACCUAGAAAGAUUUCAUAUGCUAUCUUUGUAAACCACCAACAACCGGGUUUUACACAAGUGGUUUCGUCUCGAGUGCACAGCUGAUAGGUACGUGCCAAGGACAUGAUGGCAUCCACCAGUCCACUCUCUGUACUGACCGGUUCUUAAGCCACAGGCUCACCAAGCCACAACAGUGGCUGCUCUUCAGGGUGCUUUGCAAAAGAAUGAGCAGCAAUUGAUUCGGAUUGACAUGUCAUUGAUUACACAUGCACUGCACAGUGGUAUGAUUGCUAUCAUUCAAAAAAAAAGUAUCACCACCCAACACCGGAGCCACUCUGAUUUCUUAUAGAUGUGCUGGUCCGUAUGUCUUUACAUGCUGAUCUCUCUGUGUAGUUUCUCUUGGGGAAGUACCGCUUGUGAUGAGAAAUUAGCGCUUGCAUUCAAGGACUAGUCCCUGACAGGGCUUGGGUUUGUUUUCAUGCUAUUACCAUUUUUAUUAUUAUUUAUGUGUUUCUGUUAUUCUUCUGUAUCCAUUAUGCAUUAUUAAAAUUUCCCUGGUGGAAUGAUAGCGAUGUUA